rnacentral:lncRNA from 1 species
AUGGUCCUUCUUUUAAGGAAUUUAACCUCAUCCAAACACAUAGGACCACUGCAUACCAUUAGGUUCACGAUUAUUUUCAAGUUUUAUCCUCUUCUUCUUUUAAAUUUUAUUAUUAUUAUUUUUAAUUUAGAGAAAGAUAUAUGGCAUUUACAUAACACUGAAGUUAGAGGAGGGAGGAAGAGGCACAAAGGAAAAAGUGACCAAAAUUUGGGAGGAAGCCCAAGAAAAACAUUGAGAGGAAGGCCCUGCAUCUCACUAUGACAGACUGAAGGACAGCAUUUAAUUUCCUUUCCUCGAGUAUAAAAUAAACACUCUUAAGAUUAUUUCACAUUAGAUCUCUUCUAUUAUUGACAAUGGUGGUCAUUUGAUUUUAUGAAGAAGGGAAAAUUUGAGGAAAUUAUCGACAUAAAACUACCAGCAAUAAUUUAAAAUUAUGCAUAUCUUCUAAUUAGUAUAUGCUUCUGGUUGUUCAGUUGCUAAGUUGUGUCCGGCGUUUUGUGACUCUGUGGACUGCAGCACACUAAGCUUCCCGGAAGUUCAUCACCAAUGCCGGAGCUUGCUGAAACUCAUGUCGAUUGAGUCAGUGAUGCCAUCCAACCAUCUCAUCCUCUGUCACCCCUUCUCCUCUUGUGCUGAAUCUUUCCCAGCAUCGGGUCUUUCCAAUGAGUCAGUUCUUUGUAUCAGGUGGCCAAAGUAUUGGAGCUUCUGCUUCAACAUCAGUUCUUCGAAUGCUUAAACCUCAAAAUAUUCUGUUUCCUUUUACUUGUUUUUCAUGCACUUAAUGUAAUCCAUUGCUUAAACCAAAUACUUUGUGAUUCUUAAUCAUUAUAAACACACCUUGGUUAAAAUGUACUUAGUGGUUUUAGAUGUGCACUUUUAACACAUCUUGGAGUAUAAAGAAAGAGCACACAAUGGCAUCCAUGAGAGAAGCCAGAAGUAUUUUAGGUAAACGAUUUCAGUAAAUUCUCAAAGGUUUUGUCUUUUGUGUGUAUCAGAGAGUUUACAGAAAAUUUAAGUAAGCACAUAGGAUCAUACUCCAUCAUUUUAGUUUCUCUAGUUUAUGUUUUUAAAAAAAACAAAACAAAAACUCCUGGGUCAUGGAGACACAGGGAUUUUCAUCAGGCGUGCCUCUGCUCUCAGUCUUUCUGCUUGGAUUUUGCUUCUCUCUUUCUCCUGUACAAAAGCAUGUCUGGCCCUGGUUCAUUUAUACUCUACCUCCUGCUCUUUCUUUGCUCUUUAUGGAGGCAGUAAAGGGAAGUGCAUUUUAUGUACUAGCUGUUUAAAAGCUCAAAGAUUCUAGACACAGUGGAAUAUAGCUUUUACUAAAUUGAACAUAACUGCCAGCACCAAAUCAUACAUGCACAGCUGGGAAAGCAAUGUAACAUAAUGUGUACAUAUCUGCCCAUAAUUUGCUAUGUGCAACUCUAAGUGCAAAAUGCAUAAAUGAGAUUAAAUUUUGAUAUGGAAAAUCAAGCUAUUAGUCUUACUUUAAAAAUAAUUUCAGUUAUAGAAAUGGAGUGCAGACUUUGUAUUUAAAAAAAAAGAAUCGCAUUAAUUUUGUGUCUUUUAAACCCAAGACACUAUGUCUUAUUUCCCUGUGUCUAACAUAUACACAAGCCAAAUCCUAUCCUGUUCUAAAACACAUUUGUAGUUUCCUAGGUGGAACAGCAUUAUUCAAAUGGACAGGAUAUAAGUCAAACUGCUUUGUUACAAAAUACAGAAUUACCGGGUCAUAUGUCAUUGCAACAAUCUGAACCUAUUUUCUGAUAUUUACUAUCAUUAGUCUCCAUCCGUUGGACUUUAAUCAAGUAAGAGUUUAAAAUGUAAAUUGAAAAGUUUAACCAAACUAAAACCAAAUAUGGGGAUGUAUAAAACAUGUUUAUAUAUGUAAAUAGAAGUGAAGUUUGACAGGUCAUGUCUGUCAAUUUAUUACAACGUCCUGACUAUUUCCUCCUCUGUAUUUCUCAAAUCCCUCCUUUCCUCCAUCUCCAUCUCUCCCUCUGAAUCCAAUCCAAUAUCCUUUCUUAUGGGUUGAUGUAAGUUCUCUCCUAACACACUUUCCCCUCAUCCACUCCAAACUUUUCUCCAUCUUACAGUUAAGUGAUUUAAAAAUAAUAAUAAUAAUAUAUAUAUAUAUAUACACACACACAUAUAUUUAUACAUAUAUUAUGUAUAUAUACCAGAGAAGGCAAUGGCACCCCACUCCAG